UUUGAAAUGAAAUUAGUUGACAUUUUGAUUUUUGAAAGUUUGCAUGGUUUUCGUUCCCAAUUAUCGCAAUAAACUAUAGAAAGCAGCAGCGAUACUGGGUUUGACAAUGUGCCUUACGAAAUUUCCAAUGCAGCAGUUGCGGCUACAGCACAAUUAUUGCCAGAAAUAUCAAAGUCCAGGUAGCAACAAUUAUUGGAUUAGUCGGUGCGUGUAGACAGAAAGAACUAACAAAAAUGUCAACUGAUCUAAUAAACAACAAGGAAGACAUGUUGCUUGUAAAAAUACCAAAUUCCAAAACACAUAUUGAGAGAAUUUUUGUUAUAAUUGGGCAUAAAAACCUGCAAUAUUCAUCUUCAUGGCCAUCCCAUACUUCACAUAACAGAUUAUUUGUGAAUUACACUAAAUAUAUUAGUAUAAAUAAAAAUUAGAAUGUUUCUGUUA